GGUGCAUGGUUGUCGUCAGCUCGUGUCGUGAGAUGUUGGUUAAGUCCCGCAACGAGCGCAACCCCUACGUUUAGUUGCUAACGCGUGAAGGCGAGCACUCUAGACGAACUGCCGUUGACAAAACGGAGGAAGGUGGGGAUGACGUCAAAUCAUCAUGCCCCUUAUGUUCUGGGCUACACACGUGCUACAAUGGUUGGUACAACGAGUUGCGAGUCGGUGACGGCGAGCUAAUCUCUUAAAGCCAAUCUCAGUUCGGAUUGUAGGCUGCAACUCGCCUACAUGAAGUCGGAAUCGCUAGUAAUCGCGGAUCAGCACGCCGCGGUGAAUACGUUCCCGGGCCUU
rnacentral:rRNA from 1 species